UACAGAGGGUGCAAGCGUUAAUCGGAAUUACUGGGCGUAAAGGGCGCGUAGGUGGCCACUAUAAGGCCGCGGUGAAAGUUCGGGGCUCAACCCUGAAUCUGCCGCGGCGACUGUAGGGCUUGGGCACCGUAGAGGCAGAUGGAAUUUCGGGUGUAGCGGUGGAAUGCGUAGAUAUCCGAAAGAACACCAGUGGCGAAGGCGGCCUGCUGGGCGUGAUCUGACGCUGAGGCGCGAAAGCGUGGGGAGCAAACAGG
rnacentral:rRNA from 1 species